UACGAAGGGGGCUAGCGUUGUUCGGAAUUACUGGGCGUAAAGCGCACGUAGGCGGAUAUUUAAGUGAGGGGUGAAAUCCCAGGGCUCAACCCUGGAACUGCCUUUCAUACUGGGUAUCUCGAGUUCGAGAGAGGUGAGUGGAAUUGCGAGUGUAGAGGUGAAAUUCGUAGAUAUUCGCAGGAACACCAGUGGCGAAGGCGGCUCACUGGCUCGAUACUGACGCUGAGGUGCGAAAGCGUGGGGAGCAAAC
rnacentral:rRNA from 1 species